rnacentral:rRNA from 1 species
GAUCAAGUGAAUUAAGGGCAAUUGGUGGAUGCCU